rnacentral:rRNA from 1 species
GCAAGUCUGGUGCCAGCAGCCGCGGUAAUUCCAGCUCCAAUAGCGUAUAUUAAAGUUGUUGCAGUUAAAAAGCUCGUAGUUGAAACUUGGGCCUGGCUGGCGGGUCCGCCUCACCGCGUGCACUCGUCCGGCCGGGCCUUCCUUCUGAAGAACCUCAUGCCCUUCACUGGGCGUGUUGGGGAAUCAGGACCUUUACUUUGAAAAAAUUAGAGUGUUCAAAGCAGGCCUUUGCUCUAAUACGUUAGCAUGGAAUAAUAAAAUAGGGCGUGCGUUUCUAUUUUGUUGGUUUCUAGAGACGCCGCAAUGAUUAACAGGAACAGUCGGGGGCAUCAGUAUUCAGUUGUCAGAGGUGAAAUUCUUGGAUUUACUGAAGACUAACUACUGCGAAAGCAUUUGCCAAGGAUGUUUUCAUUAAUCAGUGAACGAAAGUUAGGGGAUCGAAGACGAUCAGAUACCGUCGUAGUCUUAACCGUAAACUAUGCCGACUAGGGAUCGGGCGAUGUUCUUUUUCUGACUCGCUCGGCAUCUUACGAGAAAUCAAAGUUUUUGGGUUCUGGGGGGAUUAUGGUCGCAAGGCUGAAACUUAAAGAAAUUGACGGAAGGUCACCACCAGGCGUGGAGCCUGCGGCUUAAUUUGACUCAACACGGGGAAACUCACCAGGUCCAGAUGAAAUAAGGAUUGACAGAUUGAGAGCUCUUUCUUGAUUUUUCAGGUGGUGGUGCAUGGCCGUUCUUAGUUCGUGGGGUGACUUGUCUGCUUAAUUGCGAUAACGAGCGAGACCUUCCUCUGCUAAAUAGCCAGGCUAGCUUUGGCUGGUCGCCGGCUUCUUAGAGAGACUAUCAACUCAAGUUGAUGGAAGUUGGAGGCAAUAACAGGUCUGUGAUGC